rnacentral:rRNA from 1 species
UAAUUGAAGAGUUUGAUCAUGGCUCAGAUUGAACGCUGGCGGCAGGCCUAACACAUGCAAGUCGAGCGGUAACAGGGGAAGCUUGCUUCUCGCUGACGAGCGGCGGACGGGUGAGUAAUGUAUGGGGAUCUGCCCGAUAGAGGGGGAUAACUACUGGAAACGGUAGCUAAUACCGCAUAAUCUCUCAGGAGCAAAGCAGGGGAACUUCGGUCCUUGCGCUAUCGGAUGAACCCAUAUGGGAUUAGCUAGUAGGUGAGGUAAUGGCUCACCUACUAGCUAAUCCCAUAUG